UAAGCAUAUCAAUAAGCGGAGGAAAAGAAACCAACAGGGAUUGCCCUAGUAACGGCGAGUGAAGCGGCAAAUGCUCAGAUUUGAAAUCUCUUUGAUUUAUUAAAGCGAAUUGUAAUCUGGAGAAGGUUGAAUGGCCGAAUAAUCUGAUUUAAUUUAUUUGGAAUAAUAAAUCAUAGAGGGUGAGAAUCCCGUGACUAUCAGAAGCUAGGCUAUUUAAUUCACCUUUCAACGAGUCGAGUUGUUUGGGAAUGCAGCUCUAAAUGGGUGGUAAAUUUCAUCUAAAGCUAAAUACCUGCCAGAGACCGAUAGCGAACAAGUAGAGUGAUCGAAAGAUGAAAAGCACUUUGAAAAGAGAGUUAAAAAGUACGUGAAAUUGUUGAAAGGGAAGCGCUUGCGAUUAGACUUGAUAUUUAAAUUCGAUCAAUUAUUUAAUUCGAUUUAUUUUUUAUUUAUCAGGCCAGCAUCAGUUUGAUGAGAUUAAUAAAAUUAAUUGGAAUGUAGUAAUUAUUUCGAUAAUUAUGUUAUAGCCUUUUAAAUAAUUAAUUUACAUCAGACUGAGGUCUGCCCCUUGUGGAAGGAUGCUGGCAUAAUGAUCGUAAGCGACCCGUCUUGAA
rnacentral:rRNA from 1 species